CAGGGGAGAUCAGAGUCACCAGGCUCCCUCGCCCCAGCUGGCUCCAGGAGCCCCAUGGCCACAGCAGCCUCGGAAGCCACAGCCCAGGGUGGAAGGAAAGAAGCUCCAAUGUGACAUCAUAGAGGUUGAGGAGAAUGGAGGCUAGGGGCUCUUCAGCAGAACUGUCUGCAGCCAGUGACCAGAACUUCCAACAGCAACCCCCUCCCCAUCCCCCCGCCUCCACACACACACACACUUGUGCCAGGGACUGAGCGGUCCUGCCCUAUGAGGUUGGCUUUGAGACUACAUGAGAUUAGAGAGACACAUGGGGAGAAGGGCUGGCUUCAUGACACAAGUCUGGUCAAUGAGACAAAGGGGAUGUCUGCUGAGGAUUCUCAGAAAAGGCCUUGUCCUCUUCUUCUGGUCUUGAACCUAGAUAUGCUGGCUGAAGGUUAAUUACCAGUCAAGUCUUCAUGGAAUAAUUAUGGGGACCCAUCACUUAUAUACCUCACCCCAGUAGAGAUUCCAUUCUCCUCCAUUCUGAUAACGUUAGCUCCUGGAACAAGUUAAUGUGCCUUGUCGUCAACAUAUGGUUUCUCUGCUCCUUUCCGUUUUGUGUGAAGCUGCAGACCAGAGAUGGGGUCUUCUGGAAGAAACAUCGAAGGACAUAAAGGGAUACAGGGAAUAGACACACGAUUACAGACUUCCGUAGAAUAAGCUGAUGUGACCACAGAGCAGACACCUCACUGCCGGUCAAUCCCUGGAUUCCAUCCUCCAAAAACCUCCUUCUCCCCCAGUGCUGUUCAUCCCAGUCAUCAGGACCAUCAUUCACCCCUAUUGUUCAGAUCAAACCCGUGGAGUCGCCUGACUCCUGUCCUUAUCUCAUCCAAUCCACCAGCUCUGCCAUCAAAAUAGAAUCUCUCAAGUCCAAGCCAUCACCCUCUCUUGCCUGGAUAUUCCGAUAACCUUCUAACUGCCCCGUGCCUCCUCUGUCCUUGGCCUUUAAUGGACUCUGUUCCAAAUAGCAGCCAGUGCUCCUUUUAGAACUUAGCUCAUGGCCUCUGGUUGGAACCUUCCAACUGCUUCAUAGGUCGCUCAGAGUACAAUCCAAAAUCCUUACCGUGGCCUUCAAGGCCCUCCCUGACCUGGCUCCUCUAACUUUCCGUCCUCAUUUCCUAACACUCAGCCCCUUGCUCACUCCACAUCAGCCAGGCACACUAGCCUCCUUGCUGUUCCUCAGACACACCUGGCAUUCUCCAGUCCUGGGUCCUCUGCACUUGCUCUCCCGUUUCCCUGGAAUUCUUUGCCACAAACGUGGUAAGUGAAGAUCUCGCUUCCUCUGUUCUUUUGCUCAAGUGGUGACUCUGCCUGCAUCUCCGGCUGUUUCCUCAGUGUACACUCCUCACAGGUGCACUUUGGGUCAACAGAUAUGAAUAUUUAAAACACCCUUGGCAUA
rnacentral:lncRNA from 1 species